rnacentral:lncRNA from 1 species
UUUUGGUAAUUUUCUUGGGGGUUGGAGUGAUCAAUGUUUGGAUGCGGGAUUGAUGUGUAGUCUAGGGAUGGACAUAAAUAUGUUUAUUCUUGUGGUGUUUGACAUGUAUAAUGUGUUGGUUGUUGUGGUGUUUGAUAUGUGUAGUUUGUUUGUUGUUAUAGUGUUUGAUGUAUGUAGUUUGUUUGUUGAGAUGAAGGGUAUUGUGUUUAUUGUUAGAAAUGGUGG